rnacentral:rRNA from 1 species
UACGGAGGGGGCUAGCGUUGUUCGGAAUUACUGGGCGUAAAGCGUGUGCAGACGGAGCAGCAAGUGGGGUAUGAAAUCGCGGUGCUUAACACAGCGAGGUUAUGCCAGACUGCUGGACUAGAGUGCGAGAGAGGGAGAUGGAAUUCCGGGUGUAGUGGUGAAAUGCGUAGAGAUCCGGAGGAACCCCAGAGGCGAAAGCGGUCUCCUGGCUCGCAACUGACGUUCAGACACGACAGCAUGGGGAGCGAACGGG